rnacentral:tRNA from 1 species
GUGUGUAUAAUUUAAGUAAAAUAUUAGAUUGUGAUUCUAAAAACGAAAGUUAAACCCUUUCUUCACAC